UCUUUCUUUUGCUGGCGACCGGCGCACGGGUGAGUAACACGUAUCCAACCUGCCCUUUACUCGGGGAUAGCCUUUCGAAAGAAAGAUUAAUACCCGAUAGUAUAAUGAUUCCGCAUGGUUCCAUUAUUAAAGGAUCCGGUAAAGGAUGGGGAUGCGUUCCAUUAGGUUGUUGGUGAGGUAACGGCUCACCAAGCCUUCGAUGGAUAGGGGUUCUGAGAGGAAGGUCCCCCACAUUGGAACUGAGACACGGUCCAA
rnacentral:rRNA from 1 species